rnacentral:rRNA from 1 species
GACGAACGCUGGCGGCGUGCUUAACACAUGCAAGUCGAACGGAAAGGCCCUGCUUUUGUGGGUUGCUCGAGUGGCGAACGUGUGAGUAACACGUGUGUAACCUGCCCUUGUCUUUGUUAUCUCUUCAGGUAACUUGGGCUCAUCCCUGAUAGGAUCUCCUUCUGCCUGGUGUGGGUUGGAAAGUUUCGGCGGUUGGGGAUGGUCUCGCGGCUUAUCAGCUUGUUGGUUGGGUAGUGGCUUACCAAGGCUUUGACGGGUAGCCUGCCUGAGAGGGUGACCGGCAACAAUGGGACUGAGAUACGGACCAGAAUCCUACGGGAGGCAGCAGAGGGGAAUAGUGCACAAUGGGCGGAAGCCUGAUGCAGCAACGCCGCGUGCGGGAUGACGGCCUUCGGGUUGAAAACCGAUUUCGCCUGUGACGAAGAGGGAGUGACGGUAAUGGGUAAAGAAGCACCGGCUAACUACGUG